rnacentral:rRNA from 1 species
CCUACGGGAGGCAGCAGUGAGGAAUAUUGGUCAAUGGGCGUAAGCCUGAACCAGCCAAGUCGCGUGAGGGAUGAAGGUUCUAUGGAUCGUAAACCUCUUUUAUAAGGGAAUAAAGUGCGGGACGUGUCCCGGUUUGUAUGUACCUUAUGAAUAAGGAUCGGCUAACUCCGUGCCAGCAGCCGCGGUAAUACGGAGGAUCCGAGCGUUAUCCGGAUUUAUUGGGUUUAAAGGGUGCGUAGGCGGCCUUUUAAGUCAGCGGUGAAAGUCUGUGGCUCAACCAGAGAAUUGCCGUUGAAACUGGCAGGCUUGAGUAUGUUUGAGGCAGGCGGAAUGCGUGGUGUAGCGGUGAAAUGCUUAGAUAUCACGCAGAACCCCGAUUGCGAAGGCAGCCUGCCAAGCCAUGACUGACGCUGAUGCACGAAAGCGUGGGGAUCAAACAGGAUUAGAUACCCGUGUAGUC